ACCCAGAUGACGAGUCCCAAAUAAAACGAAACCCACGUCCUUGUGGAU
rnacentral:hammerhead_ribozyme from 1 species